GGGGAGGAAGAAGAGGAGGAGGAGGAGGGAGCCGCCCUUCAUUGAGCACAUGCUCCAACCUGGACUCUACUCGCGCCACUUUCGCAAUCUUACUACAAUUCACAAACACUCCACUAAGCAUCAUAGUAGUAGCAGCACCACAUGGUCGAGCUUUGCUCGUUUUUUCUCUCCCUUCCCUCACAAUCUCCAUCGUUUUAUUCCCUCACUUUUUGCACCAGCGAGUGUUUAAACGGCACCGCUGCACACCUGGACCUCGCCUGGAAUCGUCUCUCACCCUGGUUGUCCCUCGUCUUCAUCGGUCCGAUGCCACUGUAGUGUCAAAGUGCUUACAGUGCAGGUAGUCUUAUGAUCUCUACUGCAGUGGAGGCACUUUCAGCACUAUCCUGGCGCUCGUAACUAAAGUAUCUCUAAAGUCUCAACACACUUACUAUCAAACGUGGUCUUUGUGUGCAGUAAACCAUCAACCCACAUUAUGGGCAACACAUACUUGUGUACACAUAGUUAUACUCCCAAGGUUUCCACUGGUGCCUGUGCUAAGGUGCAUCUAGUGCAGAUAGUGAAGUAGACGUGCACCUACUGCCCUAAGUGCUCCUUCUGGCAUAAGUGGCCGGAACUGCACCGCAUCACUCCUUGGGCGCCAAAACAAAACAAACAGGUGCGCUGUUAGCUUUGCGUGGUUGCGCUGCAAGAACGGCCAAGUUGUGCAAAUCUAUGCAAAGCUGACGGCGUCCUGUGUUUUACAUCACAGCGCCGGCACAUACUUCCAUCACAGCUCCAGCGGUGUUAAAGUGCUUAUAGUGCAGGUAGUGUCGCCACAAUCUACUGCAGUGUGAGCACUUCAACUACCGCUAGAUGCCAUACCUGCGAAGGAGCCGCGGGACGCUCGCUUGUCCACAUGUGGUUCUCUGGUUAGUUUUGCUGGUUUGCUGUCAGCUUUCCUCUGUUGUGUGCUGUGCAAAUCCAUGCAAAACUGACCACGGACUCAACAGCUAUACCAAGCCGAUUUGAGCCCGGUCUAAGCAGGUUGGGAGAGGGAGCAAUGCUCUGGAUGGACGCAGUAUUGCACUUGUCCCGGCCUGUUGACGACAAUGGGAAUUGGUCUUCUGAGGAGCCUUCCAUGUGUUUACCCAGGUUGCAACAUACAUAGAAAAGUAUAUUUGUUAUGGCUGUCUAAUGUGAAUAUUUCAGAAUUGUGAUAUUAAAUAUACUUUUGUUUGAA